AGACUCUCAGGGCCUGUGGCUGCAGGUACAUCACUCACUGAACACCUUCCCAGCUAUGCAGCUAAGGGGCGAAGGCCGAUGUUCUGCUUAAAAUCACAAGCCUACCAGCACUUCUUCUGCAGCAGAUACUUCUAUUCUCGAAGAGCUCGUGAAAAUAUGAAGAUGACUAGGGGAAGAGAUCCCAUACAUUUUGGAUGAAGAACACACUGAAGAGUUAAUACAAGAGUCGUGUGGCGUAAGAGACGCCACACUGGACACAGCAAGAUCUUUCAUACAUGGUCAGAGCUCAUAGCCAACCAGAAGAUAAGUAUAUGCUGGUUUCAGUAGUUCAAGUGCUCAAAAAUUAAAUAUUUAGAAAGCACAGUAAUAGAUUCUGUAGAAGAAUUGGGUAAAUCUAAGUAACUACCUGCCCUCCCAUGUCCUCUUGAGAUCCACAUGAUGUGGAGUCCAUUACUUGGGAGCCUCUCUGGCCCAGUCAGGUCAUCAGGCUGGCAGCACUUCCCAUUUGCCUCUGAGCAGUUUUACUCUUUGGCAGCCAAUACCCAGUCACAGAGAUAUUCCUUACAGUGAAAGCAAAUCAUCAUCUUUUUUCCUCAACUUUCCUCAAUAGAUCACUUUUAAAAAAAAGACAAGCUUGUAUAUACAGAAUUUUUAAUUUAUCACUGGUGACAAUUUGUUGCCCUUCAUGACAGUCUCUUAACACAUAAUAGUUGGACAUUUCCUUUCAUCAAGAAAGAAAAAUGACCAUAAAUGGUUCUGUUUCUUUAAAACUACUGUGGUAUUUGACUGUUGCAUUUCACAGGCACGAGGAAGCACAUUUGAAACAAAAAUAAUAAUAUACUCUGGUGGAAUAUUUCCAUGUCUGUGUGUUUAAAGUCUGUGACAUGAACUCAGUGAUCUGCAAGACCUUGUCCAGGAGAUCACAGAUUCACCACUACUUUACAGUUUGACACCACUGUUCUUUCUCAACUGCUAAAAUGCAGCAGUCCCUGUCUGGGGUAUUAUUUAGAGUACUCUAAAUCAAGAACUAAUCUGUGCAACAAGAAAUGUCACCACAAUUUGUUUUAUUUGGAAUGAUCAUAAGGCCAAAAGAUAAAAUUUCUACAUAGGUGCAUAUAUCAUAUUUUAGAAAUAGGCCUUUGAGUGCAUUAUGGAAAUAUGUGGUUGGUACCCACAGGAGAAGGAACUUAAUAAUUAAAAAGAAGCUUAGCUGAAAACAUGGAAAUCCUUUAAUUAACUUGUAUGAUAUAAUGUACCUCUUAGCUGCCUUUCAACUCUUCAGCUGGAAUUAGGUGCAGAAUCUGGCAGGUAACGGGGGACUCUGCCAAUGUUUUAAGUCCCCUUUGUGAGGGAGAUCAAAAGUAAAAAAGAUUGCAAUUAAGAUAUCAUGAUGUGUUCUGAAGAUAUGUGAGAGUGUCUUCAGAACAACAGUUUUGCAGAGCUGCCAGGUGCCUUUGUUCCUAGGUGUUUAUGAUCAUCAUUGUUGUUCCAUCAUCACAAUAGGGUGAAUGCUAUAGAUAAGAUCGCAAGUAUAUAAGGUAUUGCUAUUUAUAUGCACAUCGUGUUGUCUUAUUACAGGUGCAUGCAACUUCUUACUAAGCCAGGGGAAAAGAAAAGCCAGCAUUACUCCUUAGUCCUAUUAAUUAGAAUUAGAGAAUGAAUUAGUUAUAUUUAUUAAAGUCCAAACUUCUGCAAGAAGGCUUUUUGUUGGUGUGCUUAAUCUGAACAUAAUUAAUGGAACAGUAUAUUAAGCAAAUUAAUAUUUGGAGAUAAUUUUAUAAUUUUCAGUACAUAUUUCAAGCAAACUCUUUCAAUUCUCAUCAUCAUCAACAGUGCGAUGUCCUUGGCUGAAGCAAGGAAACAGCUGUUCAGUGUACUUUAUUUUAGAAUUAAUGACUAACUUUUACCGCCCUACUCUUUUUCCCAGAGGUGGAAUAACCCUUUCCCUAGAAUUUUUCAGUGUUUAUCUUAUUGCUUAGGAUAGUUAAAGGGAAAAUGCCUUUUUCGCUUGUGAGCUGGCUCAAGAACACAGUCAGCUGGCCAGGUUGGUUCAAGCCAGACUAUAUUUCAUGCAACAAAAUCUACGAGACCAAAAUCAAUGUUUAAGAAUUGCUAUUAAUAUCUAUCGUUCAUUCAUGCCUUUAUUAAUUACUUCUCUCUCUUCAAUACAUUUAAAGGAAAUCACCACAUUUGAAUAUACUUCCCUGCUCCCCUCUCCUCUGUUUGCCAUAACUCUGCAACUUUGCAGCCUCGGCAGCAGGGCGAGGACAGGAAUCCUGCCAAGGAGCAUUGGGAUAAUUGGAGAUGCUGAACAGGAGAAGGAAGGUUGCACCAUGACCAAGUCAUACCGCUCCCUCCUUUCCUUCUGUCCUUCAUUGCUCAGUAUAGUCUUCUGCUUGCUGGUUUAUAAAGGAGAGGAUCUGCUCAUGAAAAAAUUUUCAUGUGGAAAGCUACACCAAGCAAUUUCUUGAGACUCAGACUGCAUUUCAUUUACAGAAAUGCCAAGGUUGCUAUUGCAUCAAUACUUCUCAGUAGUACACUUUAUUAGGCCCCACCUGUGAAGUGGAAAGGAAUAAGAUUAUUGAAGAAAGCUUGCUUUUACUUGACAGGUUUUCAAGUAACAGAUCUAAUUAUCAUGCCAUAAACUGACAAUUUCAUGGGAUAAUCCUCUGAUAAAUACUGUGUUAGAGCCAACACAUUUUCUCAUUAAGGCAAUUGGAACGGAAAAAGUAUUUUCCUUGCCAUGGGCACAUUAGAACAUGGUCAGGCAGGAGCUAUGAAAAAAACAGGUGGCAACUUUAUUAUAGUUACAGAUAACAUGUUCAACUUCAGACAUGGAACCGGAGAACAAUUCCUGCAGGCAGCUACCAUCCAUGGCUUUCUGCAACAGCGUCACUUUAGCAGGGCCACAUGACAAUAUGGUUUUGUUGGUGCUAUGUGUUUUUAUCUAUGUACGUACCCAAUAUUUUAUAAUUUGAACCUUUUUGGUUUCAACCUUACUUGAAAUGAAUAAAUGUUUUUCAGAUACUUCUAUUCCUGAAGAGCUCGUGAAAACAUGAAGAUGACUAGGGGAAGAGAUCCCAUACAUUUUGGAUGAAGAACACACUGAAGAGUUAAUGCAAGAGUUGUAUGGCGUAAGAGACUCCACACUGGACACAGCAAGAUCUUUCAUACAUGGUCAGGGCUCAUAGCCAACCAGAAGAUAAGAAUCUGCCAUCUACUAAAGCUUUUACUUUGUCAAUGUCAAGAAAUAAAAAAAGUAUACACAUAGAGGAGACAGAUACUGAUAGAAAAAGGGAAAUAUUCUGGGUGAUACAACCUUAGAACUGCAGGAGGCCAUAACAUAGGAGACUAAAAGUUUUGCCACAGACUUCCUGAGGUGAUAUAGUCCGAAUCUUCUUCAAUGCUGAUUCCAUCACCCGCUGGUAUUUGUAUAAUAUGGAACUUUUCAAACGAAACAUUAGCAAUGUUUUAAAGGACUAUGUGUGAAUGUAGUCUCCUCUCUUGUUAUUGCUGUCCAGUUGAGCUGCUUCUGUUGAAGAAGCUCAAGAAGGACCUGUCCAUACAGGUUUUCACCUGAAGGUGUAGGCUGUUGAGCAGGACUGUGCUGUGAAAUACUAAUAAACUGUAUAUAUUUAAAAUUGUGGUACUAUUCUAGUUCUGAAGUAUCUUUGACCCUCAAUCUGUUCACACCACUUUUGGAUGCAUCACUUGUGGUUUCUCUGUGAAACAAUAUACUUGUCUGUGAAUUGGUAUUAUUAAUAUGUAACUCACACUGGUAUGUUAGUUCAAUUAUAUUAUUGUUGGUGAGCAAAGAUUUAUUGGGCAAUUUGAGAAAGCAUCCUUUUUAACCACAUAGCACUCAUAUAAGCCAGUUUUUAUAUUCAGAGCCAUGUCCCAUCAGGACAAGAAUGUGAAAAUGAAUUCACAUGUCAUGCUGUUGGUAUGGUUCAAAUGAGGAGUGUUCUGACAUCUCACAUAGCCAGCUGGAUAACUGCAAGGUGCAGGUGUUUCCAAGAAUACCUGGCAUGGCUUAUGAACACUGGACUAUUUAGCCUCAGGCUUCCUGACCAAAAUACUCUCCUAACACUGUGUCAAGAUGAGAAGCACAUCAACUCAUAGAAUAAUUCUUAAAUGUUACUAUGUCAGACAGCGGCAACUUCUUGAAGAACCUACUGAUAACUAUAGGGGAGAAAGAAAAAUCCCAAGAGAAGGUGACUGUAUAUAAGCAUGUCAAGUGUCAAUCUUAUAUACAUAAGACAUUCCUUUGGAUCGUUUCUCUACAGUAAGUUGGCAGUGCUUCUGGACUGAGAACUGUGUUUUCCUGUUGCUAGCAGUUGCCAUGAAUUUACUGGAAGCACUGACUCAUGCUUAAUUAGUGGUGCCUUGGCUUAUUUUUAUACUGUUUUUAUGUAUUUGGAGUAUAUGCUAUUUUUAAGGCACAUAUUGUUCUUCUAAAUAUGUCAUUGUAAUACGGCAUAAUGAUUUUUACGAUAUUGAAAUUCAAAGAAAAUAUCUUUU
ensembl:lncRNA